GAUUUCUGGCUGACCGUCCUGGCCCGCUUCUUUUACGGGAGUGAGUGCCGGUACGAGUUUGCCAUCCUUCUAGAAAGCCGCGCCUACCGUUCAUUCGUGCGGGCGUGUGCGGUCUAGAUCUUUUACUUUGAAAAAAUUAGAGUGUUUAAAGCAGGCUUACGCUAUGAAUACAUUAGCAUGGAAUAAUAAUAUAGGACUUUGAUUCUAUUUUGUUGGUUUCUAGGAUUGAAGUAAUGAUUGAUAGGGAUAGUUGGGGGUGCUAGUAUUGGCCGGCCAGAGGUGAAAUUCUUGGAUUCGGUCAAGACUAACUUAUGCGAAAGCAUU
rnacentral:rRNA from 1 species